rnacentral:lncRNA from 1 species
CAGGUGUACCUGAAACAUGUAGGCAGGAAGUCUCCAUCAACCGCUUUUUCAGCAGGAUACAGAGGCAAUACAGGAGAACCCAGAGGAAGGCCGCACUGAUCAGCUGCUCCGACAUCAGAAACGCAAUUGCUAACUCCAUGCUUUCUACCGUCCUGCUGAAACUAGUUAGAGUUAGUGUUGGUUAUCUUACUGUUGUGUUACCUAGUAUUAGGCUAGAGCGAGGAGUUGCCUGUAAGCCUUCUCCUUGUCCUUCUCCUUGUCCUUCUCUUCUUGAUCUAGACAUGGCUGGUACUACUACUCCUGCCAUUGGUCUUGACAACGAAGCACUGCCUUCUACCGAGCUUUUGGGGGAUUUCGUCGGCUUCGAUGAUAGUGACAGCGCUACGGAUGAGGGCAAUGAAUCCGCCUUUGAUGGCAGUGCUACUCAGGAUGAGAAUAAAGAGAUGUCGCUUGACAGGGAUUUGUGGGCGCUUCUUGAUAACCCACAAGGCAGCUCUAAGAAAAUAGACAAUAUGAUCGAGGCCAACUUAUCGGACUUUUCAGGUCAAGACAAGUAUUGCAGCCCAGCUGUUAACUAUUCUGGAGUAAGCAGGAGGUUCCAUGGAGGUAGCAAGGUUCUCUGAGCUUGCUGUAAGUGAAUAUUAGUUGUAUUAGUGGCUAGUGUUUGCCUGCCUAAAUGUCUAAAUAACAACUGUGUUAGUAUUUGCACGUAUGAAAACCGUACUCGGCGUAUCUACUGUGGCAGUGGCAUGGAAGUAUGUAACUAAUGUACCUCGUUCAUGGUGAACUACGGUUGUUUUAUGUGAAUAUAAUUAGCUUUCGUGCCAUUGGUUGGCUGAUUGCUUAAGCCGCUUCGAAGUUCUAUGGCUUUGUUGUGGCUUGUGAGGAACUGAGCCUGGCUGCAAAUUAAAGAGCAUGAUUAUAAUAUGUUCGCCAAUAUUCAAUGUUUCUUCUUCUUAAUCUUCUUAUAUAAAAAGAGGGAGUUGUGAAGAUCCAACAUAUCUCAGUUCAACCAUGUCACUCCAAUGGUCUAUGUUCCUUCCAUGUUUAGCGCUAAUCAUGUUUAGUACUCAACACGGUUAGGGCACUCCCCUGAAUACUUACUUUCGAAAGAAAAACUCCCUCCCAAACGCUUAAUAGUACAUCUGAGGAGCCAUACCAAGUUUUGGUUAUUGCCAAAACUAUUAGCUUGAAAUGGAAACCAACACCAACACAUAUGCACACAAUACAAGUUUGGAUUAUAUUUUCAAAAUCAUUUGUCUAGCAACCAUGGGAUAUAGGGUGUUGGCAUGGAAACUACUAUAUCGACAGCUUCAAAUUAUUUUCAAAACUACUCCCUCUAUAAACUAAUAUAAGAGUGUUUAGAUCACUAAAGUAGUAAUCUAAACGCUCUUAUAUUAGUUUACGGAGGGAGUACUAGCUUAAAAUAAAAAUCAACACCAAUACAUCUCCUUGAGAGGAAACUUCGGAUUAUUUCCAAAAUCACUUGUGUAGCAGCGACUGGACAUGCAUAACAUCACCGGCUAUGUGCACAUUCGAUGCAGCAAAACCAAUAUCACACGCGUGACACGACGAUCAUUGCUUGUGUACCGCAGCAUGAUCACGGCAAGAUUCGAGUAGGGCAAGGCAGCGAGGGUUACAUCCUCCAUGGUUAUCAAACUUCGUCAUUUUUCUUUAUGAGCGGAGGCUGAUUUUGCAGAAUAUACAAGCAGGAAGCGCUCUUAUCCUCGCCAUGCCACACCCACGUUUCCCUCAGCUAGCAACCCGGCAGCGGCCGCCAAGGAUGAUGGAGCCUACUGAUCACCCAUGAUGACAAUUGUGGCUGGUCCAAAGAAGGCACAAUCAAGCAACACAUCGUCCUCGGAACCUAUAGAAGCAAACUCAGCCAAUAGCAAUUACCACAUUAUUACACCUCUUUAUCAAUUAUGUUAGAUUAGUAUCCUAUUAGACAUUUUGUUGAUUCUAUUGAAAUUAUCACCCCCUAACCAGGAUAGGUGAGGAAAUUCCUUUCUACGGUUACACAUGCGUUUGCACAUGCCCAAUCACUAGUUGUUGGUAGUCACCGACUCAUGAGAUUCUCAUCAUGCUGUUGAGUUAAGCCUAACCAAACACCCACCAAAUAAAAAAAUUAGAAACACCAUUCUAUUACAUAGGAGCGCAAAUGAGUCCAAUUUAGAGCUCCUACCAACACAAUUGUCAAGCUGAAACAACACGAAACACGGUACAUGGCAGAAAGAUAACAGAGAUACUGUCGGCUAUGACUCCUCAUGUCUUCUUCUGUGUCGUUUAUUUAAAACAUGUGCUUUAUGAUCUGGGAGUACUCACGAUUUGGUCACAAAGCAUGGCCCCGUACCAUACCGUCACAAAUUAGAUUAGUCUUUUACUUGCGGGGGGGAAACUAGAUCGCUUUUAAAGCCUAACGACCCAUGAAAUGGAAAAGCAGGCUCCUAUGCAAAACAGUUACACCUAGCGAAGACCCCUACUCCUCUAUUCACCACCUCCAGGUCCAGGAGAUGGCGAAGCAGCCACAGAGACGGACCAAGGCCAAUGGACUUGUACCAUUCAUCAUUUGACUUGUAAGGCUGAAGUGUCACUAUAAAAGCUUGCUCGAGUUGUUGAUCCACGGCCUCCUAUAUGUCAUUGCAAUUUAGAAAUAGUUCUCCUGAUACCUCUCAAGCCUCAAGGUUCUUGUUUCUCCCCCCUUGCCCAUUGCUAUAGCGAUGUAUUACAAAACUCAGAUGUCCAGAAUCCUCAAAAUGUGUAUACAUGUCUUGGCUUGCAUAUUUAUAGAUGUGAAUGACUAGAGAAAAUCGUGCCUAUAUUUAUUGUAUGAUCAUGAGACAAUCACGAAAAUAAAUGAAUUCAAUGCUUGGUUGGCCUUAUAUGCUACCCAUAUUUAAUAUCAAGUGAUAUACUAGUAAUACUAGUACUUCCAUUUGAUGGAAAAGUGAGAGAAAUUCAAACUUCAACAAACACAUGCAUAUAUCCAUAACAUAUUUACACAUCGAUCUGACAUUGUUGUCAGAUUACAACACAUGCAUAUUUCGAGGACUUCAUUACACAUUGAUCAAACAUUGUUAUCAGAUAUUCGUACCAAAAUCAUGAAUAGUCAGCCUUAUCUUUUUGUGAUAACUACAUAGACAUGUAUCACACAAAGAUGUAACUAAGGAUGCAUACCGAUACAUCAUAGAGGAGCAACUUCUUACCUUAACAUUUUGUGUUAGUCCCAUAUGCAUUUGUCAUUAACCAGCUAUAGGUAAAUCAAUUGCCACACACAUAUAUGUAAUAGUUUCCCGUACACAUGAAGCAUGGAUGCUAGCUCAUAUAUUCAGCCUAAGUCAGUCUUAGAGGGAACUAGCAUGAUCUUAUAAUUAGAGCAUACAAGAACCAACUAUUGCUUGAUCCACAUAGUAUAUGCUACUCCAUAUUUAAUACAAAGUGAUAUACUAAUAUGUUCGUUUGACCAAAAGAUGAAAGAAAUUUCGGACUUGAGGCAACGCAUGCAUAUCCAGAAUUUAUUUGCACAUCGAUCUAAUAUUAUUGUCAGAUUACAGCACACACAUAUUUCUAGGACGUAACAUUUGCAUGCCUAGCUUGUAGUUUUGAUUUAUGUGUGCCUUACUGGAUCGAGGAUCAAUUUGUAGUGGCUUCGAAAAGCGAGGAACUCAGUAUCAUAGCUGAAUGUUAUGCAUCUUUUUUGUACAAUACUACCAUGGGAAAGCAUUGAUAUGUACCCCUCCGUUUCAAAUUACUCGUCGCAGAAAUGGAUGUAUCUAGAACUAAAAUAUAUCUAGAUACAUCCAUACCCACGACAAGUAAUUCGGAACGGAGGGAGUAGCAUUUGGCUCUUGUUGAACGAAAUGACUAGAGUUGUUUCUUGUAAGCGGUUGGUUAAUGGUAAAUAUGCACUUGUGUUUACGUAAAUGAUGAUCUUUGAUUUGUAUGCACUGAAUAUUAAGUAACACCCGUCUUCCGCCAGCGGCCCCUCUCUCCUCCCUCCAACCCGGCGCUCGCCUCCGCCUCCGCCUGCGCCUCCACGCGCGCGCGCCAUCCGUCGCCUCGCGGCCUCGCCUCCGAGGCCACUACACCAGCGGCCAUCCGAUUCAUGCGGCACGCGGCUAGGAGAGCUGCGGCCACGCUGCUAUCGCCGUCGACUCUCCCGCCUCCCUCCUCCGCGCCGCUAUCGUCGCCGGCUCCCUCCUCCGCGCCGCUCCUCCAGCGACCCCAGUCCCUUCGCGCAAGAGCGCCCGAGGCAGGACUGGCCCGGACUCCCCGCGAGCGCGUCCCCGUUCCGAGCCCCUGCGUGAGAGGAUCCCACUUCCACGAUGCACGCGGGGUGCUCGACGGAACGCCUACGAGGAGCGCGGCCGCGUGGACGGCGGCCAUCGCUGGCUGCGCGCGCACCGGACGGCACGCGGACGGCAUGGGCGCGUUCGCGGAGAUGCUCGCCGAGGGCGGAGCCGCGCCGAACGCGUUUGUUCUCGCGGCCGUCCUCAGGUGCUGCUCGGGGCUCGGCGACGUGGCGUCAGGCAAGCGCAUCCAUGGGUGGCUGCUGAGGAACGGGGUGCAUCUGGACCGGGUGCUGUGCAAUGCCGUUAUCGAUAUGUACGCCAAGUGUGGGGACUGCGAGCGGGCUAAGCGGGCAUUCAGAGCAAUGGCCGAGGUCGACGCCGUCUCCUGGAACAUCGUGAUCAGCGCGUGUCUGCAGAGCGGCGACGUUCGUGGGGCGAUGCAGCUGUUUGAUGACUCGCCGGUGCGAGACACUUCGAGCUGGAACACAGUCAUCAGCGGCUUGAUGCGGAAUGGGUGCGCUGCCAAGGCGCUGGACCGCCUGUAUCAUAUGGCACGAGCUGGAGUGGAGUUUAAUCACUACACAUACUCCACGGCACUUGCCUUGGCUGGCAUGCUUUCUUUGAUGGACCUCGGCCUGCAGCUCCAUGGCCGUGUGCUGACAGCUGCACUGGAGACUGACGCAUUUGUUCGGAGCUCUCUCAUGGACAUGUACUGCAAGUGCGGCUCAAUGAACGCUGCUGCGUUGAUCUUUGAUAGAUGGUCGCAUCUUACCGGUGACGUGAAAUUUGCAUGGAGCACAAUGGUCGCUGGAUACGUCCAGAAUGGCAGGGAGGAAGAAGCUUUCGAGUUCUUCCGGUUGAUGCUGCGUCAAGGGGUUGCUGCAGAUCAGUUCACCCUCACCAGUGCGGUUGCAGCGUGUGCAAAUGCAGGGAUGGUUGAGCAAGGCAGGCAAGUGCACGGGUGCGUCGAGAAGCUAGGGCACAGUUUUGAUGCACCAUUGGCAUCUAUCAUCGUCGACAUGUAUGCUAAGUGUGGCAACCUUGACGACGCUUGCAGGAUGUUUGACAUACCUCCCACGAAGAACGUUGCUCUCUGGACUUCAAUGCUGUGCUCCUAUGCGUCCCAUGGGAAAGGUAGGAUGGCCAUAGAACUCUUCAACAGAAUGAUUGCAGAAAAGAUCAAGCCAAAUGAGGUCACCCUUGUCGGUGUUCUAUCUGCCUGUAGCCACGGCAGAUUGGUCAGUGAAGGAGAGCACUUCUUCAAGCUAAUGCAAGAAGAGUAUGGAAUUGUUCCAAGCAUCGAACAUUACAAUUGCAUGGUUGAUCUUUAUGGUCGAGCUGGACUGCUAGACAAAGCAAAUAAUUUCAUCAACGAAAACAAGAUUAAGCAUGAAUCUAUUGUUUGGAAGACAUUACUGUCAGCUUGUCGGGUUCACAAGGACAUGGAGCACGCAAAACUUGCUUCUGAAAGUUUGAUUCAACUGGAGCAAUGUGAUGCUGGAUCAUAUGUUAUGCUGUCAAACAUGUAUGCCACUCACAGCAAAUGGCGUGACACUUCGAAGCUCAGAAGUUUGAUGCGGGAAAGGGGGGUUCGAAAGCAACCCGGACAAUCUUGGAUCCAUCUGAAGAACAUUGUGCAUACUUUUGUCGCAGGGGACACGGCGCACCCGAGAUCAUCUGAAAUUUAUACCUGCUUGGCAAAGUUGAUGGAGAGAAUAAAGGAACUGGGGUACACCAGUAGAAUUGAUCUUGUUGCUCAUGAUGUGGAGGAGGAACAAAGGGAGACAGUUCUGAGGUUCCACAGUGAGAAGCUUGCCAUGGCGUUUGGGAUCAUCAGCACUCCCAAUGGGACUCCGCUUCGAAUCUUCAAGAACCUGCGUAUUUGUGUGGACUGCCAUGAAGCAAUCAAGUAUGUAAGCCGAGCCACAGAUAGGGAGAUCGUUGUGCGAGAUUUGUACCGGUUUCAUCAUUUCAAGGAUGCAAGGUGUUCUUGUGAGGAUUUCUGGUGAAAGAUUUACCUCAACAAUUUUGGUGGCAAAUUUUUCACACGUGGGUCGAAGUUUUUCCUCCUUCUCCUCUUCCCGCACCCGCACAUUUGCUCCUCUGCACACUCGGUUGUUGCCGCCAGCACCUUUCAACAACGCACCUCGUCAUCCUGGUCGCCACCUUUGAACUCCGCCCCUUCUUUGUAAUGGUGCCCAUGGUGAGCGGGCGGUCGUUAUGUUACGCGGAGGGCAUCAUGAUCUGAUGGGUGACAACGGGGGUCCUCGCUGACCAGCUACGGCGAUGGCAGCAUUGGCACUGCUCCGACUACUUUGUGUCGUCCUUCCUGGUCGCGUGGCUUCUUCAUGGCAGGAGCAGUGGGAGGUGGACAUGCGGUUGGUUGAAGGUAGGAGAGCGAAGGUUGAGGAAGGUGCGGUGAGCUUCAUGUCAACCAGAGAAGGGACAGAAGGGCGCGAUGGGGUCGAAGGAGUGCGAAGUGGUGGUGAAGGCCAAAUCCGACGUGCAGAGGCCGGGACAGUGCAAUUGGAACCAUGGCGAUCGGAGAAGGGCAGCCCUAGGAAGGCAGCGGCGACUGUGCACGGAAGAGCGGGCGAAGUCGAAUGCGAUUGGUAGGACACGUCCUAUCCGCCAAGGGUACAAAAACAGUGUCAGCCCUUUCUUGUUCUAAAUUUUUUAUAAUCUGGAACUCCUGUAAAGAUUAUAUCACUCCCGGGGAAGAUUUUUUUUUUUUUUUUGAGGAUCUUGGUGUCCAUUAAGAUGGAACAAUGAAGCGACCUUUAAGAUCGGAGAUGCAUGACUAAACGGCCCAUGCAAAUAGUGGAGGGACACAAGUAGCUCCAGCAGACUUUGGCAAAUUUUUGCAGUUAAAAAAAGCAAAAAAUGCUACACCUACGUAAAAGCUGUGCUCUUAACGUUUUUUUUUUUGGAUGUGCUCUUUACGUAAUAUUCCUACUCCGUCCAUAUAUAUAAGGCCUAAUGUGUUUUCCGAGAAUGCCUUUGACUAUUGAUAAGAAGGAUAGUAUAUAAGAUGUAUAAUCUGAAAAUUAUAACAUUGAAAACUCCUUUCACAUACGAAUUUGACGGUAUGCUUUGUGUAUCUUACAUGUCAUAUGUUAUUACUCUGAGAUAUGGAUAAAGGGAGUAACUAUCCUCUCCACGAUGCCUCCUAUUUAGCGCGGUUCCCACUGGCGAACAAGCCAAUGCGCACCGCGCACCCUUUUGGGACGUCCCUUCUUUUUUUGCCUCAUUUUCAAGCCUUAUUAUUAUUAUUUUAAAAUAAUACGAAAUUUCAUAAAAAUCAAAAUUUGUAGAAAAAAUAUGAAUUAUGAAAGAAUGUUCAUGGACUGAAAAAAUGUUGGCAUGUUCAAAAAUUGUUCUCGGUUUGAAAAAAGAAAAUGUUCAGGAAAUCAAAUGUUGUUCAUGAUUGUGAAAAAAAUGCUUUCAAAUUAAAAAAAUGAUUGCUGAUUCAAAAAAGUCAUUAAUUCAAAAAAAAAUCCAUGCAUCUUAGAAAUGAUCACUGAUUCAAAAAAUGUUCACGAGUUUCAAAACAAUGGUCACAAUUUCGAAAGUUAUUUGUGAAUUUCCAAAAAUUGUUAACAAACUCAAAACUGUUCACGAAUUAAAAAAAUGUUUGCUAAUUUGUAUAAAAUUGUUGAUGUAUUCGAAACUGUUUGUGAUUUCAUAAAAUUGUUUGGGAAAUAAAAAAGUGUUUGUGAAUUUGAAAUAAUGUUCAUGAAUUCAAACUAUGUUCACAAAAUUCAAUAAAUGUUCAUUUUUCGGGUCUCAUGGCCGACGGCAGAUAGGGAACAGGCGCCGGCGGUCAUUUUAGUCUAUGUUUAGAGCGUGUUCUAGUUAAAAAAAUGUCUAAAUGUAAUGAAUUUGUUUUGUUUUAAAUGAAAAAUAUCUGGUUUUAUUAUGUAAAAUAAAUAUUUUGGAUUGUUUGAGUUUGAAUCAAAUUUGUUCAAUAUCAUUGAAUUUAAUUUGAAAUGUAACCCGGACAUACGCGGCUACCUUUAGAUGCGGGAGUAAAUUUGCAAGUUCCUGACAUAGCGCUGCCCAUGGACGCGUCGAGGUAUAGGAGGUCAGAUUAGUUGAGUCCGAUUGUACGUGCUCUACUGCUACGACCUCGGUCCGCUGUUUAUUUGACCCCUUGGUAUUUUAAGCUAUAUUUUAACCAUCUAUGGACUACUAUAAAAUAUAAAUUAUAUGCUAUAAAAAAUUAUAUUCUUGGAUCUAUAUUUGAAAGAGCUUUCCGACAAUGUAAUUUUUGUGACAUGUGGUUUACAUUUUGUUAGUUAAAUUUUUAGGUUAAACUAUAGCCCAACGUAAGAGAGCGCUAAUAAACACCCUUAGCGAACGCGGAACGAUGCGGGACGGGCCGCAGACAAUCAUGUUGUGCACUUUGCAUCCUGAAUGAGUUAAUCCGAAACUAGCAACUCAAAAAAAAAGUUAAUCCGAAACUAGCAACUCAAAAAAAAAAGUUAAUCCGAAACUAGCAACUCAAAAAAAAAGUUAAUCCGAAACUAGCCGUUGGGAGGGAAUGAGAAUCCACCCAUUGGCGGCCUCGUGCGCGCCCUCGUCUUCUUCCCCGCGCCCAUCUCUGCAGCGCCAGGAAUCGCUCGCGGGCGCGCCACAUUUAUGACACCACCACCGCACCACACUCCUCCCCCACCUUACCUACCUACCUACGAGCCCGCCCCUCCCCUCCCCUCGCCACCGCAGCGCCUCUCCCGGACUCCACCGCCACCCUGCCCCUGCUUCCAUCCGUGCACAGAGCUCCCGGCACCAUGCCGCUGCGGCCAGGCGGUAACCGCGCGGCCGCCCUGCUGCUCGUCCUGCACUGCUUCUGCUGCGCCCCGCUCCUCUUCCCUCCUCCGGCGGCCGCCGCCCACGGGCAUCAUCCGGCAGGGGACGGCGUCGUGAUCAGCGAGGCGGACCGGCAGGGCCUGCAGGCCAUCAAGGGGGACCUCGCCGACCCCCGCGGCUUCCUCCGCUCCUGGAACGCCACCGGCCUCGGCGGUGCCUGCUCGGGCGCCUGGACGGGCAUCAAGUGCGUCAACGGCAACGUCGUCGCCAUCACGCUCCCCUGGCGCGGCCUGGCGGGCACCCUCUCCGCGCGCGGGCUCGGCCAGCUCACCCGGCUCCGCCGCCUCAGCCUCCACGACAACGUCAUCGCCGGGGCCGUCCCCAGCUCGCUCGGCUUCCUCCCCGACCUCCGCGGCCUCUACCUCUUCAACAACCGCUUCUCCGGCGCCGUCCCGCCCGAGAUCGGCCGCUGCCUCGCGCUGCAGUCGUUCGACGCCAGCAGCAAUCUCCUCACCGGCGUCCUCCCGGCCUCGAUUGCCAACUCCACCAAGCUCAUCCGCCUCAACCUCAGCCGCAACGCCAUCUCCGGCGAGGUCCCCGCCGAGGUCGUCGGCUCCUCGUCGCUCCUCUUCCUCGACCUCUCGUACAACAAGCUCUCCGGCCGCAUCCCCGACUCUUUCGGGGGCGGAUCCAAGGCGCCGUCCUCGUCCUCGCGGAAGGAAGCCGUCACCGGGAGCUACCAGCUGGUCUUCCUCAGCCUCGCGCACAACUCGCUCGACGGGCCGGUGCCGGAGUCGCUCACCGGGCUCAGCAACCUGCAGGAGCUGGACCUGGCCGGCAACAACCUCAACGGCUCCAUCCCCGCCCGGCUGGGCUCGCUUCACGACCUCAAGACGCUUGACCUCUCAGGCAACGCACUCGCCGGAGAGAUCCCUGAGAGCCUCGCAAACCUCACCGCGACGCUCCACUCCUUCAACGUCUCCUACAACAACCUCUCCGGCGCGGUGCCGGCGUCGCUCGCCCACAAGUUUGGGCCCACCUCCUUCGCCGGUAACAUACUGCUCUGCGGCUACUCUGCUUCCUCGCCGCCCUGUCCCGUGUCUCCGUCUCCGGCGCCGGCAUCAACCUCGCAGGGGACAACCGGGCGCCACGGCCUCCGCAGGUUCAGCACCAAGGAGCUCGCACUGAUCAUCGCCGGGAUCGUGAUCGGCGUCCUCAUCUUGCUGUCGCUCUGCUGCCUCCUGCUCUGCUUACUGACAAGGAAGAAGAAGUCCAGCACUGGCACUGGAGCACGGAGCGGGAAGCAGUCGUCAAGCAAGGACGUUGCCGGCGCCGCUGCUGCAGCUGCCGGGCGAGGCGAGAAGCCGGGGGCGUCCGAGGCGGAGUCCGGCGGCGACGUGGGUGGCAAGCUGGUGCACUUCGACGGGCCGCUGGCGUUCACGGCCGACGACCUGCUGUGCGCCACCGCGGAGAUCAUGGGGAAGAGCACGUACGGCACGGUGUACAAGGCGACGCUGGAGGACGGCAGCCUGGUGGCCGUGAAGCGGCUGCGGGAGAAGAUCACCAAGGGGCAGAAGGAGUUCGAGGCCGAGGCGGCGGCGCUGGGCAAGGUCCGGCACCCCAACCUGCUCUCGCUCAGAGCCUACUACCUCGGCCCCAAGGGGGAGAAGCUGCUCGUCUUCGAUUACAUUCCCAAGGGCAGCCUCUCCGCCUUCUUGCACGGUGAGAUUCCCUCCUUGAAAAUUCUUCAUCCAUUGAAGCUGGGUUCUUCAGCUCUGUGGUUCUGACAUUUGGUUGGUUCAUGGCGUUGGUUCAGCUCGAGCUCCCAACACGCCGGUGGACUGGGCGACGCGGAUGGCGAUCGCCAAGGGGACGGCCCGCGGGCUCGCCUACCUCCACGACGACAUGAACAUCCUCCACGGCAACCUCACCGGCAGCAACGUGCUCCUCGACGACGACUCCAGCCCCAGGAUCGCCGACAUCGGCCUGUCCCGCCUCAUGACGGCCGCCGCCAACUCGAGCGUGCUCGCCGCGGCGGGCGCGCUGGGGUACCGCGCGCCGGAGCUGUCCAAGCUCAAGAAGGCCAGCGGCAAGACGGACGUGUACAGCCUCGGCGUCAUCAUCCUGGAGCUGCUCACCGGCAAGUCCCCCGCCGACACGACCAACGGCAUGGACCUGCCGCAGUGGGUGGGGUCCAUCGUGAAGGAGGAGUGGACCAACGAGGUGUUCGACCUGGAGCUGAUGCGGGACACGGCCGCCGGCCCGGAGGGGGACGAGCUCAUGGACACGCUCAAGCUCGCGCUGCAGUGCGUCGAGGCCUCGCCGUCGGCCCGGCCCGAGGCGCGGGAGGUGCUGCGGCAGCUCGAGGAGAUCCGGCCCGGGCCAAGCGAGGAAGGCCAUGUUGCUUCUGCAAGCAACGAGUAGAGGGAGUGAACUAGAGAGGAAAGAAGAUUGUUACAUUGAGGUUUAGUUUUUUUUUUUUUGAUAAUUCUUUGGUUCAUUUGAUUUGAAAAUCUAGUAUAUUUAUAAGCUGAAGGGAUUGUCCUUCUUUUUCAUUUUCUAUAGUUUGUAUAGGCAAAUACGUAUUAUUUGCACCACUAGAAUCUCUGUCAGGAAUUCCAAACCCAUAUAAACAUUAUUGAUUUUUCACAAGCUGUUGAGCACAUUCUGGUUCUGAAUUUCUUACAGCCUCCCUCGUCGUGUAAUUCAGAAUUUCAAACUGAACUUUUGAUAUAUGUUUAAAAGCGGUUCCAGUAAACCUUAAAUAGUGGCUUCCAGUAACUUGGAUUAAUAAAGAGUAACAGCAUAUACAGGUAUGGAUAAUCAAUCUCCAGAUAUACCAACCGCCAAGGAAGAAUGCUCACGACAAAUAAUCCCGUUUGCAGUAAGAAAGAAGUCUAGCAUGCCAAAAUUCUCUCCCAGAUUGUUUACCAAUCCAAUCUCUGAACUUCCCUCUUAUAUAAGCAAUUUAUAAGAGGCAUAUUAGAGAUCAGUUUACAAACAGAGUGGUUAUAUAUAUGUUUAAAUAUCAUACUGAUGUUGUUGUGCAUUCAGACAUACUACCAUACUAUCUCAAGGCCAAACAUAUACAUGGAAUACUUACUUCAUCAGUUGAACUUCGCCCUUGCUGUUUAAAUGAUGAACUCACUCUAGUUUGCCCUUCGGCCAGAAAACCACAUGGAGAUGCCGCCCCAAUCUCACCUUCAGUCAGAAAAAAACACUGGGCCUGAACCUCGCCUUCAGUGAGAAAACGAAAAUACGGGGUCUGAAUUGAACUCAAUUUUAUUCAAUAGAAGUGAAAAGUCCAUUAGUGAUUUAAGCGUCAAAGGUUGUGCCUUCCAUCCCAUGGCUGGACUUGGUUGCUUGAGAAAGUUUGUCUUGUGUGAAAACUUUCGAAUUGUCUCUAAUUCGCUCUUCCAAAUUCUGGCCACUAAUUUUCAGACCAUUUCGAGCUAGACUACCCAGCCCUCUCUCAUCUCAAAGCAAAGCUCAGACUCUGCUACUAUUAUCACUUCCCUAGCCAAGCCAUACUGCUUCAGGUCCUGGAGCUGGAGGUAUUGGAAACUCAAGUGCUUCAAAAAGAGGAAAUCUUGAAAAAGGUUUCUGCUUAGCUCUUGUUGCUUUAUCCUUUGAACCAAUGAAAACACGAAAAUAUUUCUUUGCCUUUUUUUUGUAUAGCAGUUUUCAGCUUCAGUCCAGGGCGACAAUUGCACUAUAUUAUUAUGAUUAUUCAUGUUAUUCAAGUUGUGCAAGUGAAAAGGCAAUAAUGACGAAUACUUAAUGAAGUGGCGGCGGCAGAGAAAGCUGGUAUGAUCAUGCUUUGCUUUGUUUAUGUACAUAUGUUUAUCUGCGUGAUUGCUUUAUGGUGUUGUAUGAUAGUCAUCUGGUGCAUAACGAGAGUUUGAUGAUUCAUGCUUCCUCAUAUUGAGUUCAAUUAACUAGGAGUAUAUAAUGAGUUAUCUUGGAUGUUAACAUGCAUUAAAUUGUGUGACAUAAUAUGGUAUGUUACCAUGAUAUUUCUCUUCUGAAGCAAUCAGGUGGCUUAACUUGGCACAUGUUCACACAUAAUUGAUAGAUAUCAAUUCAGCAUGAAUGUGUUAUGACUUUAGAAUGUAUUAUCAUGUUUAUGUUGCCGCUUAAUGCUUACAUAUUCAGAAUGCAUGAUUAUGAUCGCUAUGCUCUCUAGUUGGCUGCUUCUCGAUCUAUUACUAGCCUUUGCAUGUAAUAAGCAUGAAUUCUGCUUGUGCAUCCUAAUCCUUGAGUCGAGAUUUUCAUAAGAGUCCACCAUACCUAUCAGUCAUGACUGAGGAAGGUCAUUCAAAGUUAAUUAUCAUCGCCACGCCCAAAAAUCUUUCGUUGUUCAAGUUCUUAAAGAAGGAAGUAAUUAGUUUUCUAUUUUCUUUGUAAUGGAUGUAAAUAAGCAAAUAAAAUAUAUCCAACUAUUGCAUAAAGAAAGGGAAUCAAAUAAAUUCAAAGUGCAAAGCGUCAAGUGGCCACUAUAUAGAGAACGAGAAUAGACAUGUCUUUAUGUUCCUUCAAAUUUUGAAAGCAACUCUCGAAUAAGGCAUCAAAAGUUUGCCACUAACAAAAAUAAAGCACACGGCAAUCCCUGCUUUCCUCUGGAAAAAUGACCUACCCAUUUACUUUUAUGUUGUGUCAUUACCUUCCUUGAGCACCAACAUAGAGGGCAUAGUUAUCAUUCUUAACAUAACAUACAUUUUGUCCAGGAAAUAUUAGGUAAUAUAUGUUGGAAAUACGAGCAAUUUACCAAAUGAUUUUAUUGACAGAAAUACUAGAUAAAGUGCUACCUCUUGAGCACUGCGUUGGUUUUCCCCGAAGAGGAAGGGAUGAUGCAGCAAAGUAGCGUAAGUAUUUCCCUCAGUUUUUGAGAACCAAGGUAUCAAUCCAGUAGGAGGCUACGCGUGAGUUCCUCGUACCUGCACAAAACAAAUAAACCUCGCAACCAACGCGAAUAGGGGUUGUCAAUCCCUACACGGCCACUUAUGAGAGUGAGAUCGGAUAGAUAUGAUAAGAUAAUUUUUUUGGUAUUUUUGUGAUAAAGAUGCAAAGUAAAAUAAAGACAAAGGAAAAAAGCAAAGGAAAUAACUAAGUAGUAGGAGAUUAAUAUGAUAAAGAUAGACCCGGGGGCCAUAGGUUUCACUAGUGGCUUCUCUCGAGAGCAUAAGUAUUCUACGGUGGGUGAACAAAUUACUGUUAAGCAAUUGACAUAAUUGAGCAUAGUUAUGAGAAUAUCUAGGUAUGAUCAUGUAUAUAGGCAUCAUGUCCGAGACAAGUAGACCGACUCCUGCCUGCAUCUACUACUAUUACUCCACUCAUCGACUGCUAUCCAGCAUGCAUCUAGAGUAUUAAGUUAAAAAUAGAGUAACGCCUUAAGCAAGAUGACAUGAAGUAGAGGGAUAGACUCAUGCAAUAUUAUGAAAACCCCAUCUUGUUAUCCUCGAUGACAACAAUACAAUACGUGCCUUGCUGCCCCUACUGUCACUGGUAAAAGACACCGCAAGAUUGAACCCAAAACUAAGCACUUCUCCCAUUGCAAGAAAGAUCAAUCUAGUAGGUCAAACCAAACUGAUAAUUCGAAGAGACUUGCAAAGAUAACCAAUCAUACAUAAAAGAAUUCAAAGGAGAUUCAAAUAUUGUUUAUAGAUAGACUUGAUCAUAAACCCACAAUUCGUCGGUCACAACAAACACACCGCAAAAAGAAGAUUGUAUCGAAUAGUUCUCCACAAGAGAGGGGGGAACAUUGUAUUGAGAUCCAAAAAGAGAGAAAGAAGCCAUCUAGCUAAUAACUAUGGACCCGUAGGUCUGAGGUAAACUACUCACACUUCAUCGGAGGGGCUAUGGUGUUGAUGUAGAAGCCCUCCGUGAUCGAUGCCCCCUCCGGCGGAGCUCCGGAACAUACCCCAAGAUGGGUCUCGUGGAUACAGAAAGUUGUAGCAGUGGAAUUAGGUUUUUGGCUCCGUAUCUGAUCGUUUAGGGGUACGUAUGUAUAUAUAAGAGGAAGGAGUACGUCGGUGGAGCAACAGGGGGCCCACGAGGGUGGAGGGCGCGCCUGGGAGGGGGGGGUAGGCGCGCCCCCUACCUCGUGGCCUCCUCUUUUGUGUCUUGACGUAGGGUCCAAGUCUCUUGGGUCUUGUUCGUUGAGAAAAUCACGUUCCCGAAGGUUUCAUUCCGUUUGGACUCCGUUUGAUAUUCCUUUUCUUCGAAACACUAAAACAGGCAAAAAACAACAAUUCUUGGUUGGGCCUCCGGUUAAUAGCUUAGUCCUAAAAAUAAUAUAAAAGUGGAUAAUAAAGCCCAAUAAUGUCCAAAACAGUAGAUAAUAUAGCAUGGAGCAAUCAAAAAUUAUAGAUACGUUGGAGACGUAUCAAGCAUCCCCAAGCUUAAUUCCUGCUCGUCCUCGAGUAGGUAAAUGAUAAAAACAGAAUUUUUGAUGCGGAGUGCUACUUGGCAUAAUUUUAAUGUAAUUCUUCUUAAUUGUGGUAUGAAUAUUCAAAUCCGAAAGAUUCAAGACAAAAGUUUAAUAUUGACAUAAAAAUAAUAAUACUUCAAGUAUACUAACAAAGCAAUUAUGUCUUCUCAAAAUAACAUGGCCAAAGAAAGUUAUCCUUACAAAAUCAUAUAGUCUGGCUAUGCUCCAUCUUCACCACACAAAAUAUUUAAAUCAUGCACAGCCCCGAUGACAAGCCAAGCAAUUGUUUCAUACUUUUGGUGUUCUCUAACUUUUUCAAUCUUCACGCAAUACAUGAGCGUGAGCCAUAGACAUAGCAUUAUAUGUGGAAUAGAAUGGUGGUUGUGGAGAAGAUAAAAAGGGAGAAGAUAGUCUCACAUCAACUAGACGUAUCAACGGGCUAUGGAGAUGCCCAUCAAUAGAUAUCAAUGUGAGUGAGUAGGGAUUGCCAUGCAAUGGAUGCACUAGAGCUAUAUAUAAGUAUAUGAAAGCUCAAAAAGAAAUUAAGUGGGUGUGCAUCCAACUCGCUUGCUCAUGAAGACCUAGGGCAUUUUAAGGAAGCCCAUCAUUGGAAUAUACAAGCCAAGUUCCAUAAUGAAAAAUUCCCACUAGUAUAUGAAAGUGAUAACAUGAGAGACUCUCUACUAUGAAUAUCAUGGUGCUACUUUGAAGCACAAGUGUGGUAAAAGGAUAGUAACAUUGUCCCUUCUCUCUUUUUCUCUCAUUUUUUUAUUUGGGCCUUUUUAUGGCCUCUUUUCUUUUUCUUUUUUUUCGUCCGGAGUCUCAUCCCGACUUGUGGGGGAAUCAUAGUCUCCAUCAUCCUUUCCUCACUGGGACAAUGCUCUAAUAAUGAUGAUCAUCACACUUUUAUUUUUCUUACAAUUCAACAAUUACAACUCGAUACUUAGAACAAAAUAUGACUCUAUAUGAAUGCCUCCGGCGGUGUACCGGGAUAUGCAAUGAAUCAAGAGUGACAUGUAUGAAAGAAUUAUGAAUGGUGGCUUUGCCACAAAUACGAUGGCAACUACAUGAUCAUGCUAAGCAAUAUGACAAUGAUGAAGCGGAACGGUGGAAAGUUGCAUGGCAAUAUAUCUCGGAAUGGCUAUGGAAAUGCCAUAAUAGGUAGGUAUGGUGGCUGUUUUGAGGAAGGUAUAUGGUGGGUGUAUGAUACCGGCGAAAGGUGCACGGUAUUAGAGAGGCUAGCAAUGGUAGAAGGGUGAGAGUGCGUAUAAUCCAUGGACUCAACAUUAGUCACAAAGAACUCAUAUACUUAUUGCAAAAAUCUACAAGUUAUCAAAGCAAAGUAUUACGCGCAUGCUCCUAGGCGGAUAGAUUGGUAGGAAAAGACCAUCGCUCGUCCCCGACCGCCACUCAUAAGGAAGGCAAUCAAAAAUUAAAUCAAGCUCCGACUUUAUCACAUAACGGUUCACCACACGUGCAUGCUACGGGAAUCACAAACUUUAACACAAGUAUUUCUCAAAUUCACAACUACUCAACUAUCACAACUUUAAUAUCACCAUCUUUAUAUCUCAAAACAAUUAUCAAGUAUCAAACUUCUCAUAGUAUUCAACACACUCAUAAGAAAAUUUUAUUAUUAAUCUUGUAUACCAAGCAUAUUAGGAUUUUAAGCAAAUUACCAUGCUUUUUAAGACUCUCAAAAUAAUCUAAGUGAAGCAUGAGAGAUCAAUAGUUUCUAUAAAACAAAUCCACCACCGUGCUCUAAAAGAUAUAAGUGAAGUACUAGAGCAAAACUACAUAACUCAAAAGAUAUAAGCGAAGCACAUAGAGUAUUCUAACAAAUUCCAAAUCAUGUAUGACUCUCUCAAAAGGUGUGUACAGCAAGGAUUAUUGUUGUAAACUAAAAAGUAAAGACUCAAAUCAUACAAGAAGCUCCAAGCAAAACACAUAUCAUGUGGUGAAUUAAAAUAUAGCUCCAAGUAAAGUUACCGAUAGAAGUAGGCGAAAGAGGGGAUGCCUUCCGGGGCAUCCCCAAGCUUUGGCUUUUAAGUGUCCUUAGAUUAUCUUGGGGGUGCCAUGGGAAUCCCCAAGCUUAGGCUCUUGCCACUCCUUGUUCCAUAAUUCAUCAAAUCUUUACCCAAAACUUGAAAACUUCACAACACAAAACUUAAAAUAGAAAAUUUCGUGAGUUCUGUUAGCAAAAGAAAAUAAAAGACCACUUCAAGGUACUGUAAUGAACUCAUUCUUUAUUUAUAUUGGUGUUAUACCUACUUUAUUCCAACUUCUCUAUGGUUUAUAAACUAUUUUACUAGCCAUAGAUUCAUCAAAAUAAGCAAACAACACACGAAAAACAGAAUCUGUCAAAAACAGAACAGUCUGUAGUAAUCUGUAGCUAGCGCAAGAUAUGGAACCCCAAAAAUUCUAAAAUAAAUUGCUGGACGUGAGGAAUUUAUCUAUUAAUAAUCUGCAAAAAUAAUUAACUAAAUAUCACUCUUCAAAUAAAAAUGGCAGCAGUUCUCGUGAGCGCUAAAGUUUCUGUUUUUUACAGCAAGUGUAACAAGACUUUCCCCAAGUCUUCACACGGUUCUACUUGGCACAAACACUAAUUAAACAAAAAAACACAACCAAAACAGAGGCUAGAUAAAUGAUUUAUUACUAAACAGGAGCAAAAAGCAAGGAAUAAAAAUAAAAUUGGGUUGUCUCCCAAUAAGCGCUAUCGUUUAACGCCCCUAGCUAGGCAUAACAAGUAAGGAUAGAUGUAGGUAUUGUCAUCUUUGGUAGGCAAUCCAUAAGUGGAUCUCAUAAUAGAUUCAUAAGGUAAUUUAAUUUUCUUUCUAGGAAAGUGUUCCAUGCCUUUCCUUAAUGGAAAUUGGAAUCUAAUAUUUCCUUCCUUCAUAUCAAUAAUUGCACCAAUCUUUCUAAGGAAAGGUCUACCAAGAAUAAUAGGACAUGAAGGAUUGCAAUCUAUGUCAAGAACAAUAAAAUCUACGGAUACAUAAUUCCUAUUUGCAACAAUAAGAACAUCAUUAAUUCUUCACAUAGGUUUCUUAAUAGUGGAAUCCGCAAGGUGCAAGUUUAGAGAGCAAUCAUCAAAAUCACUGAAACCUAACAAAUCACACGAAGUCUUUGGAAUCGUGGAAACGCUAGCACCCAAAUCACAUAAAACAUAGCAUUCAUGAUCUUUAAUUUUAAUUUUAAUAGUUGGUUCCCACUCAUCAUAAAGUUUUCUAGGGAUAGAAACUUCCAAUUCAAGUUUUUCUUCAUAAGAUUGCAUCAAGGCAUCAACAAUAUGUUUAGUAAACGCUUUAUUUUGACUAUAAGCGUGAGGAGAAUUUAGCACUGAUUGCAACAAGGAAAUACAAUCAAUCAAAGAGCAAUUUUCAUAGUUAAAUUCCUUAAAAUCCAUAAUAGUGGGUUUAGCAACAUCUAGGGUUUUAAUUUCUUCAAUCUCACUUUUAUCAAUUUUAGCAUCAAGAUUAAAAAAUUCAGAAUUCUUGGAACGCCUUCUAGGUAAAGGUGGAUCAUAUUCAGUCUCAUCAUUAUCAAGAUUCAUAUUGCAAAACAAAUAUUUAAUAAGGGACACAUCAAUAACUUUUAGAUCUUCAUCUUUAUUUUCAUAGGAACUAGAAGAACACGCUCUUAUAAAGGCAUCUUUCUUAGCACGCAUCCUAGCGGUUCUUUCUUUGCACUCAUGAAAGCAUUAAAAUUCUUUUGCGAAGUAAUAAAUUAUUUAAUAUUAGAUUCAAAAUCAGAGGGCAUCUUAUUAUAAUUUCCAUAAGAAUUGUUGUAGGAAUUACCAUAAUUAUUAGAGGGAUUACUAGGAUAAGGCCUAGGGUUGAAAUUUCCUCUAUACGCGUUGUUACCAAAAUUGUUCCUACCAACAAAAUUCACAUCCAUAGAUUCAUUAUUAUUCUCAAUCAAAAUAGACAAGGGCAUAUCAUUAGGAUCAGAAGAAACACUCUUAUUAGCAAAUAAUUUCAUAAGUUCAUCCAUCUUUCCACUCAAAACAUUAAUUUCUUCUAUCGCAUGCACCUUUUUAUUAGUAGAUCUUUCAGUAUGCCAUUGAGAAUAAUUAACCAUAAUAUUAUCUAGGAGUUUAGUAACUUCUCCUAAAGUGAUUUUCAUAAAAGUGCCUCCCGCGGCCGAAUCUAAAAGAUUUCUAGAAGCAAAAUUCAAUCCGGCAUAGAAAUUUUGUAUAAUCAUCCACAAAUUUAAACCAUGAGUAGGGUAAUUACGUAUCAUUAGUUUCAUUCUCUCCCAAGCUUGUGCAACAUGUUUAUGAUCAAGUUGCUUAAAAUUCAUAAUAUCGUUUCUAAGAGAGAUGAUCUUAGCGGGAGGAAAAUACUUAGAGAUAAAAGCAUCUUUGCACUUGUUCCAUGAAUCAAUACUAUUUUUAGGCAAAGACGAAAACCAAGCUUUAGCACGAUCUCUAAGCGAAAAAGGAAAUAGCUUCAAUUUAACAAUAUCAUUAUCCACAUCUUUCUUCUUUUGCAUAUCACACAAAUCAACGAAGCUAUUUACAUGGGUAGCGGCAUCUUCAAUAGGAAGGCCGGAAAAAGGAUCUUUCAUGACAAUAUUCAGUAAAGCAGUAUUAAUUUCACAAGAUUCAGCAUCGGUAAGAGGAGCAAUCGGAGUGCUAAUAAAAUCAUUGUUGUUGGUAUUGGUGAAGUCACACAAUUUAGUAUUAUCUUGAGCCAUCGUGACAAGCAAGCAAACUAACACACAAGCAAACAAAAAAAGCGGGCAAAAAGAGGCAAAUAGAGAAAGAGAGGGAGGAUAGAGAGAUAGAGGGCGAAUAAAACGACAAGGGUGAAGUGGGGGAGAGGAAAACGAGAGGCAAAUGGCAAAUAAUGUAAUGCGGGAGAUAAGGGUAUGUGAUGGGUACUUGGUAUGUUGACUUUUGCGUAGACCUCCCCGACAACGGCGCCAGAAAUCCUUCUUGCUACCUCUUGAGCACUGUGUUGGUUUUCCCCGAAGAGGAAGGGAUGAUGCAGCAAAGUAUCGUAAGUAUUUCUCUCAGCUUUUUAGAACCAAGGUAUCGAUCCAGUAGGAGGCUACGCGUGAAUCCCUCGUACCUGCACAAAACAAAUAAAUCCUCGCAAUCAACGCGAAUAGGGGUUGUCAAUCCCUACACGGCCACUUACGAGAGUGAGAUCUGAUAGAUAUGAUAAGAUAAUAUUUUUGGUAUUUUUGUGAUAAAGAUGCAAAGUAAAAUAAAGGCAAAGGAAAAAGCAAAGGAAAUAACUAAGUAGUAGGAGAUUAAUAUGAUAAAGAUAGACCCGGGGCCAUAGGUUUCACUAGUGGCUUCUCUCGAGACCAUAAGUAUUCUACGGUGGGUGAACAAAUUACUGUUGAGAAAUUGACAGAAUUGAGCAUAGUUAUGAGAAUAUCUAGGUAUGAUCAUGUAUAUAGGCAUCACGUCUGAGACAAGUAGACCGACUCCUGCCUGCAUCUACUACUAUUACUCCACUCAUCGACCGCUAUCCAACAUGCAUCUAGAGUAUUAAGUUAAAAACAGAGUAACGCCUUAAACAAGAUGACAUGAUGUAGAGGGAUAGACUCAUGCAAUAUUAUGAAAACCCCAUCUUGUUAUCCUCGAUGGCAACAAUACAAUACGUGCCUUACUGCCCCUACUGUCACUGGUAAAAGACACCGCAAGAUUGAACCCAAAGCUAAGCACUUCUCCCAUUGCAAGAAAGAUCAAUCUAGUAGGCCAAAUCAAACUGAUAAUUCAAAGAGACUUGCAAAGAUAACCAAUCAUACAUAAAAGAAUUCAGAGGAGAUUCAAAUAUUGUUCAUAGAUAGACUUGAUCAUAAACCCACAAUUCAUCGGUCACAACAAACACACCGCAAAAAGAAGAUUACAUCGAAUAGUUCUCCACAAGAGAGGGGGAGAACAUUGUAUUGAGAUCCAAAAAGAGAGAAUAAGCCAUCUAGCUAAUAACUAUGGACCCGCAGGUCUGAGGUAAACUACUCACACUUCAUCGGAGGGGCUAUGGUGUUGAUGUAGAAGCCCUCCGUGAUCGAUGCCCCCUCCGGUGGAGCUCCGGGACAGGCCCCAAGAUGGGAUCUCGUGGAUACAGAAAGUUGCGGCGGUGGAAUUAGGUUUUUGACUCUGUAUCUGAUCGUUUGGGGGUACGUAGGUAUAUAUAGGAGGAAGGAGUACGUCGGUGGAGCAACAGGGGGCCCACGAGGGUGGAGGGCGCGCCUGGGGGUAGGCGCGCCCCCUACCUCAGGGCCUCCUCUUUUGUGUAUUGACGUACGGUCCAAGUCUCCUGGGUCUUGUUCGUUGAGAAAAUCACAUUCCCGAAGGUUUCAUUCCGUUUGGACUCCAUUUGAUGUUCCUUUUCUUCGAAACCCUAAAACAGGCAAAAACAGCAAUUCUAGGCUGGGCCUCCAGUUAAUAGGUUAGUCCCAAAAAUAAUAUAAAAGUGGAUAAUAAAGCCCAACAAUGUCCAAAACAGUAGAUAUUAUAGCAUGGAGCAAUCAAAAAUUAUAGAUACGUUGGAGACGUAUCAUAACGCACGAGUAGUAUAGCAGUGAUAAAACUAGUCAUACGAUUUGACAAAGAGAAGGUAAACAACAACUUCAUAUAUGAACUGUAACUAAACAUAUCUAGAGCAGACAAUAUAGCAAGUUGCAUAUAUGAAACAGAGUCUAACAUAUCUAGGGCAAACACUAGAACAAGGAACUGUAGCAGGGCCUCUAAUAGAAAGAGGAAUAACGCGUACGGGACAGCAGCAGCAGAAGCGCUGGACUUGGGGUCGGUGUCCUCGCCAGCCAUGUCGUCGAGGAGGUUGUCGACGUCGGGGAAGAAGUCGUUGUUGGGGAAGUAGUCGUCGGAGUCUGGGGCGUCCGUGAUGAAGAAGUCAGUAGUCACGCGAAGCGCUCCCCAAAAACCUUAUCACUCUUCUCACGUACAUGACUCAAAGAGGUGCGGUUUCGGAGUCCUACUGUCCCGACCUGCGGUGCACGCCGCAAGCCGGGAUGGGGAAGAACAUAGCAGCAGCGCAGUGUUUAGGAACUUGUGGCGAGAGAAAGAAGAGGUUCUGGUGCGUCUCUCUGAGAGGAGCGACCUCCCUUUUAUGGGCGCAAGAGAAGGAGACGAGAGGCUGCGCUGGGAGCUGAAGAGAACGAGGGAGAUGAAACGAACAGGCAGCAGCCGAAGAGGUGCGCCGUUCGUAUUCAAUCUCCACUACAGCAAAAACAUUUCAGCUUCCGCGUGACCUUUCAUGUACCCGUCGUGCGUGGCAAAAAUUAGACAUCGGCUCGACUCAUUCCCGCAACCCGCGGCGCGGCGCGUCGUGACGAGGCGGGCAGCGGAGGAGGAGCGCGCGUGGAUGUCCCUCUUGUUCUCAUCCUCAUACAUGUGAAGAAAGAGCCUCCCUUAUAAAGAGGUCCAACUCCCUCUAAACUAGCAAUGUGGGACUAAACUUUAGUUCCACCUCUUGCCUUGCAUGAAUGGGCUGCGUGGGCCUCUAGGAUUUAUUAGGAAUUUCUGAAACUGCUAUUGGGCUAGGCCCAAAAUAGACAAAAUUACAGCAAUCCCCCACCAGAUCCCAUAGGCACACAAAAUUUGCCUUUGGUUCCAAAACACUAUUUUAUAUACCGGUACUACAGUGGAGACUGUUAAGUUGAACUUCCACCUAGAACUCUAUGCUACACUAGUAAGCAACUUGGACAGUGGACUGGGCCUUGAACUGCAAGUUUUCUGCGAAUCUAGCUUCACAUAAAGCCUUGACCUAUACGUGGCUACCGUGGGUCUUCCCCGUGGGUGCAGCUUAUGCGUCAUACUCCGAGACCUUUCAUGAGUUUACUAGAGAGAACCCUACUCUCGUAGAUUGCGACAUUUAACAACUAGACUCAUAUAGGUGCGUUCUUCAAAAGAUGUUCUGCAGGACAACAUCUCUGCUUCAAUGAGCCACUUAGAACACAUUAAGAUAUACAUCAACCUGCCAUGCAGAUUAGGAGAGUAUUGCAUCUUCAUGGAGUGGUAUUGUUGAUAGUAAGGAUACUCUCCUCUCAGUUGACCAACAGCUUGUCUUCCCCAUCUAAUUCACGGGAUCUCCGAUCACAAAGAAUAGGUUACCAGUGUGAACAACUCAUAUUGUGGGUCUCAUACCCAUCUCCCUCGAUGCAUUAUCUAUCACAUUACGUGAUAGACCCUUAGUAAAAGGAUCUGCCAGAUUCAUAGACGUUUGGAUAUAAUCCAUGCAAUAACUCCGGAGUUUCUCAUUUUCCUGACAGACUUUAACCUUCUCUGAACGUAUCUUGAUGACUUCAUGUUAUCCUUUGAGCUACUCACUUUCGUGAUCACAGUUUGAUUGUCGCAGUUCAUAAGGAUACCCGGUACAGGUUUCUCAACAACCGGCAACUCAUUCAAGAGCCGGUGAAGCCAAUCUGCUUCGGCUGUAGUUGUAUCUAGUGUUGUGAGUUCUGCUUCCAUUAUUGACCUCGUUAAGAUGGUCUUCUUGCAAGACUUCCAAGAAAUAGCGCCACCUCCAUGAGUGAAUACAUAUCCGCUCGUGGCCUUUAUCUCAUCAGCAUCUGAGAUCCAGUUUGAGUCACUAUACCAUUCAAGCACCUUUGGGUGCCCAGUGUAGUGAAUUCCAUAAUUCGCAGUGCCUUUCAAAUAACGCAAAACUCUCUCUAGAGCUUUCCAAUGCACAUCUCCUAGUUUUGAGACAAUCUGAUUCAGUUUGCUAACAACAAAAGAGAUGUCAGGUCUUAUAGCACUGGCCAAGUACAUAAGGGAGCCAAUAAUCUGAGAAUACUUCAAUUGAUCUCUAGCAAUUCUUCGGUUCUUUCGAAGUAGCACGCUAGCAUCAUAUGGUGUUGGAGAGGGCUUGCAGUCACUAUAGCCAAAGCGACUCAAGAUCUUUUCCAUAUAGUGAGAUUGAAGCAAUGUAAUCCCACCAUCAUCGUCUCUCAACAACUUGAUGUUCAAAAUGACAUCAGCCACUCCUAAAUUCUUCAUCUCAAAACAGCAAGAUAGGAAAUCCUUGACCUCCUUGAUAACAUUCAGAUUUGUUCCGAAAAUUUGUAUGUCGUCAACAUACAAGCAAAGGAUAACUCCCUCGCCCCCACCAUGGCGAUAGUACACACAUUUGUCAGCUUCAUUUACAACAAAGCCUGCAGAUGUUAAAGUUCUUUCAAACUUCUCAUGCCACUGUUUGGGUGCUUGCUUGAGUCCAUACAAAGACUUCAGCAACUUGCACACUUUUCCUUCCUGACCAUCUAGUACAAACCCAUCUGGUUGUUCCAUAUAAAUUUCCUCGUCCAACUCUCCAUUUAGGAAAGCAGUCUUAACAUCCAUUUGAUGAACGAGAAGACCAUGUGAGGCAGCUAGUGAAAGUAGAACUCGAAUAGUGGUCAGUCGAGCCGCAUGUGAGUAAGUAUCAAAGAAGUCCUCACCUUCCUUUUGGGUAUAACCCUUAGCCACGAGGCGAGCCUUGUACUUUCCAAUAGUACCAUUAGGCCUAAGCUUCUUCUUGAAUACCCAUUUGCAUCCUAUAGGUUUGCACCCAUAAGGACGAUCAGUAAUCUUCCAAGUUUCAUUCGCCAAGAUGGAAUCCAUCUCACUACGAACUGCUUCCUUCCAGUAGUCAGCAUCUUCAGAUGCAUAGGCCUCUGAAAUAGAACUGGGAGUAUCAUCUAUGAGAUACACAAGAAAAUCAUCACCAAAGGACUUUGCAGUCCUCUGUCUCUUGCUCCUAGUAGGAACUUCAUUGUUCUCCUCCACAGGAUUUUCAAAGUGUUCCAUCGAAAUGGCAGGUUCGGUAAUUGUAAUUGGUUCCUGAUUCGAUGAACUAGGCAUCUCCUGAUUAGAUGAGGUAGCCAUACCCUUCAUGGGAAAGAUAUCUUCAAAUAAAGUCGCAUCAUUUGACUCCAUGAUCGUACCGACAUGCAUGUCAGGUACCUCAGAUUUUACAACCAAGAAUCUAUAACCAAUGCUAUGAAAAGCAUAUCCCAAGAAAACACAAUCCACGGUCUUUGGUCCAAGCUUGCGCUUCUUUGGAAUUGGCACAUUGACUUUUGCCAAACAACCCCAGGUUCGUAGAUAAGAGAGUUUUAGUCUCUUCUUCUCCCAUUCCUCGAAUGGAGUUAUCUCUUUAUUCUUUGUGGGAACUCGGUUUAGGACAUGACAUGCAGUCAAUAUUGCCUCCCCCCACCAUGCCUUGGAGAGACCCGAUGUGUCUAACAUGGCGUUAAUGAAAGGGUCGAUAUGGUUGACUAGAGGGGGGGUGAAUAGACAACUAACAAUGUUUAGCUUUUCUUUACCAAAUUAAACUUUGCAUCAAAGUAGGUUGUCUAGAUGUGUAACUAGAUGAGCAACCUAUAUGAUGCAACAACAACAAGCACACGAGCAAGCAAGAGAAGUAAUACUAAUAAGCUUGCACAAGUAAAGGUACGAGAUAACCAAGAGUGGAGUCGGUGAAGACGAGGAUGUGUUACCGAAAUUCCUUCCUUUUGAGGGGAAGUACGUCUCCAUUGGAGCGGUGUGGAGGCACAAUGCUCCCCAAGAAGCCACUAGGGCCACCGUAUUCUCCUCACGCACUCACACAAUGCGAGAUGCCGUGAUUCCACUAUUGGUGCCCUUGGAGGCGGCGACCAGACCUUCACAAACAAGGUUGGGGCUCUCUCCACAACUUAAUUGGAGGCUCCCAACUAAACCACGGAGCUUCACCACAAUGGAAUGUGGCUCUGAGGUGACCUCAACCGCCUAGGGUGCUCAAACACCCAAGAGUAACAAAAUCCACACAAGAAAGUAUGGGGGAAGCAAAAAUCCUUUGGUGGACGUGUAGAUCUAGGUCUCCUCCUUCAAUCUCUAGCAAAUCAAUAAGUUUGAGUGGCUAGCAAGAGAGAUCGGGCAAGAGAGCUUGAGUAGCAUUAAUGGUGGAGUGAGAGAGGCUAAAGGUAGUUGUGGUAGGUGGAAGAAGCACCCUUAUAUAGCAACCUUAAAAAUCCAACCGUUACUGUUUUUUCAGUACUGCAGUGGUACAACCGCUCCUUGUCCCGGUACAACCGGGACUCACAGUUUACAUGCAGAACCCUACCAGGCGGUAUAACCGGGCGACCAGGCGGUAGUACCGGUUGAGGAGAACAGCCGGACCAACCGCCCAGCCACCGCUCAACCACCGCAUAGGAACAGAAGGGAGUCACCCCUGAGUGCAGUAGUCGAGCGGUACAGGGCCGGUGCAACUGCAUGGCCUUGAGCGCUCGGGCGGCUAAGUCUUGAGCGGUAGAACCGCUCCGGACACCGGUGGUACCGGUACGACCGGACCAACCGGGCCACCACCGCCCGAGUACUGCAUCAAAAUAGAAGCCUGACCGGUACUUGGGCAGUGCCUGGCCGGAACAACCGUCCUAAUCCUUCCUGAGCAUGUUGGCGGUACCACCGCCCGGAAGCAGCGGUACAACCGCUCGAUCAAAACUGGUCAGCGCCAAGACCCAGCGGUACAACCGCUCCAGAGAGCGGUACAACCGCUGGGAACCCACAGAAAGCAGUAGGAAACAAAGGGGAAGAGCUCUCUCUCACAGUUUAGGAAGGCAAGAGAGGGGUGAGGUAAGUGUAUGUGAAAUGAUGCCCCCAACACUUUCCAAUGUGGAUUCCCUCUUGAUAGUACGGGUUCCCUACGACCAAAAGAGAUAAAAAGAAGUAGAAAACACCGUCUUCGAUAUUUUUCUUUCAGAGAGAAUAGCUACCCGAAGAAGGCCUAAAUCCCGAAACCUGAAACACUUAGCACAAGAUUAGACCCACAAAGGGUUGUCAUCAUCAUCCAAAACACAAAGUAGGGAAAUGUCCUUACAGUUAACCAAAUCUGUUAGAGUACGGUUCUUUCUUUCCGCCACCCCAUUUGACUGAGGUAAAUAGGGAGGCGUCCUCUCAUGGAUUAUACCAUGUUCCGCACAAAAAGCAUCAAAUUCAUUGGAAAAAUACUCUCCACCACGGUCGGACUUAAGCCUCUUGAUUUUUCGAUCAAGUUGGUUUUCCACUUCAACUUUAUAGAUCUUGAAAAAGUUCAUAGCCUCAUCCUUAGAUUUCAGAAGAUACACACGGCAGUAUCUAGUGGAGUCGUCAAUUAACGUCAUGAAAUAUUUCUUUCCACUCUUUGUCAAAACACCAUUCAUUUCACACAGAUCCGAAUGUAUGAGCUCUAGUGGUGCAAGAUUUCUCGUUUCCGCAGUCGUGUGAGACUUACGAGGUUGCUUAGCUUGCACACAAACUUGACACUUAGAUCCCUUGCCAGUGGUGAAACUAGGGAUUAAGUUCAACUUUGCUAGUCACGACAUGCAACCAAAGUUAACAUGAAAAGACGUGAAUGUCACACAUUUGAUUCACUAUUGUUGCAAACAUGAUUAACAACUUUAUUGCAAACGUCUGACAAGGAUAAACAAAAAGAGGCCUCCUGACUCAUAGCCUUUACCAACAAAGGUUCCAUACUUGAAUAUUACAAAUUUAUUCGACUCAAAGACAAGCUUAUAGCCAUCUCUACACAGAAGAGAUCCGCUAACAAGAUUUUAAUUAACGGAGGGGACAUAAUGCAUGUUCUCCAGCAGCACGAUCUUCCCCGAAGUAAACUUCAGAUCGACCGUGCCAACACCACGAACAAAAGCACUUGAACCGUUGCCCAUCAGCACGGUUGAAGUCCCUGCGGUUUGAUAAGACGAAAACAUGGAAAUAUCACCGCAUACAUGCACAUUAGCACCCGUGUCAAUCAACCAAUCAGGAGAUUGACAUACUGAAAGAAUAGUGAGAAAUAUACCAUACCCAGCAUCCUUCAUGUCAGUGUCUCCAAUGACAACAUUAGCAAUCUUGCUGCCUUUCCCAGGAUGACACUUGUCAUAGCAAUUAGGGCAACUAGGAGCCCAAUGAUCAAGAUCCCCACACACAUGACAAACACCUUUCUUCUUGUCAUUCUUCUUCUUGAAGUUCGUGUGUUGCACAACCUUGUUCUUCCCAUCAAACUUUGCUUUACCAUCAAACUUGCCCUUGUUCUUGAACUUGUGGGGCUGGAAGUUCUUCUUCUGUACCAGAUUGGCACUAGAUCCUCCCUCAAUACCUCGAGCACGUGUGUCCUUUGCUCUCGCCUUUUCUUACACAUCAAGAGUACCAAUGUGAUCCAGGACGGAAAACUCUUGUCUCUUAUGCUUCAGUAAGGUAGCAAAGUUCCUCCACGAAGGAGGAAGCUUAGUGAUGAUACCUCCAGCAACAAACUUGUCCGGCAGCAUACAACUGAAGUGCUCAAGUUCUCUAGCAAAUGAUUGUAUCUCAUGAGCUUGCUCAACCACGGAGCGCUCUUCAGUCAUCCUAUAACCAUAGAAUUGCUCAAUGAUGUACAUCUCAGUGCCAGCAUCCGAGACCCCAAACUUGGCCUCGAGUGCAUCCCACAUAUCUUUUCCAUUAUCAAUUGACGCAUAAACAUCAACUAUGUUCUCACCAAGAACACUCAAGAGAGCAGCCUUAAAUAGAGUAUCCAUUUUCUGAAAAGCUUGUGCCUGUUGAGCAUCACACUCACCUUCAGGUUUGCCAAGAGUGGCGUCAUAGCAACUCAUGGUUUGAAACCAUAAGACUGCUCUCACGCGCCACCUCUUAUAGUGGAUACCCUCAAACAUAGAAGGUCUCAUGGAAGCAGCAAAACCACUUGGGGUAAAUUGCCUAUAAUAAGGUUUUUAGAUUGUUGGAAAUAUGAGCAAUUUACCGAAUGGUUUUAUUGACAGCAAUACUAGAUAAAGCACGACUAGUAUAGCAGUGAUAAAACUAGUCAUGUGAUUAGACAAAGAGAAGGUAAACAACAACUUCAUAUAUGAACUGUGACUAAACAUAUCUAGAGCAGACAGUAUAGCAAGUUGCAUAUAUGAAACAGAGUCUAACAUAUCUAGGGCAAACACUAGAACAAGGAACUGUAGCAGGGCCUCUAAUAGAAAGAGGAAGAACGCGUACGGGACAGCAGCAACAGAAGUGCUGUACUUGGGGUCGGUGUCCUCGCCAGCCAUGUCGUCGAGGAGGUUGUCGACGUCGGGGAAGAAGUCGUCGUUGGGGAAGUAGUCGUCGGAGUCUGGGGCGUUCGUGACGAAGAAGUCAGUAGUCACGCGAAGCGCUCCCCCAAAACCUUAUCACCCUUCUCCCGUACAUGACUUAAAGAGGUGCGGUUUCGGAGGCCUACUGUCCUGACCUGCGGUGCACGCCGCAAGCCGGGAUGGGGAAGAAUGCAGCAGCAGCGCAGUGUUCAGGAACUUGUGGCGAGAGGAAAAAGAGGUUCUGGUGCGUUGAUACGUCUCCAACGUAUCUAUAAUUUUUGAUUGCUCCAUGCUAUGUUAUCUACUGUUUUGGGCAAUAUUGGGCUUUAUUAUCCACUUUUAUAUUAUUUUUGGGACUAACCUAUUAACCGGAGGCCCAACCCAGAAUUGCUGUUUUUUGCCUAUUUCAGUGUUUCGAAGAAAAGGAAUAUCAAACGGAGUCGAAACGGAACGAAAUCAACUAGAGAAGUUAUUUUUGGAAGGAAAGCUACCGGAUGGACUUGGACCCCACGUCAGGAGCCAAGGGAGGUGCUCACGAGGGUGGCCCCCCUAGGGCGCGCCCCCUGCCUCGUGGGGCCCCCGAAGCUCCACCGACGUACUUCCUGCACCCAUAUAUAUUCACGUACCCUAAAACUUCCAGAACAGACAAUAGAUCUGGAGUUCCGCCGCCAGAAGCCUCCGUAGCCAUCGAAAGCCAAUCUAGACCUGUUCCGGCACCCUGACGGAGGGGGAAUCCUUCUCCGGUGGCCAUCUUCAUCAUCUCGGUGCUCUCCAUGACGAGGAGGGAGUAGUUCUCCCUCGGGGCUGAGGGUAUGUACCAGUAGCUAUGUGUUUGAUCUCUCUCUCUCUCUCUCGUGUUCUUGAUUUGGCACGAUCUUGAUGUAUCGCGAGCUUUGCUAUUAUAGUUGGAUCUUAUGUUUCUCCUCCCCCUCUACUCUCUUGUAAUGAAUUGAGUUUCCCCUUUGAAGUUAUCUUAUCGGAUUGAGUCUUUUAAGAUUUGAGAACACUUGAUGUAUGUCUUGCCGUGCGUAUCUAUGGUGCCAAUGGGAUACCACGUGAUUCACUUGAUGUAUGUUUUGGUGAUCAACUUGCGGGUUCCGCCCAUGAACCUAUGCAUAGGGGUUGGCACACGUUUUCGUCGUGAUUCUCCGGUAGAACUUUGGGGCACUCUAUGAGGUCCUAUGUGUUGGUCAAAUAGAUGAAUCUGAGAUUGUGUGACGCAUACGUAUAAUCAUACCCACGGAUACUUGAGGUGACAUUGGAGUAUCUAGGUGACACUAGGGUUUUGGUUGAUUUGUGUCUUAAGGUGUUAUUCUAGUACGAACUCUAGGGUUGUUUGUGACACUUAUAGGAAUAGCCCAACGGAUUGAUUGGAAAGAAUAACUUUGAGGUGGUUUCGUACCCUACCAUAAUCUCUUCGUUUGUUCUCCGCUAUUAGUGACUUUGGAGUGACUCUUUGUUGCAUGUUGAGGGAUAGUUAUGUGAUCCAAUUAUGUUAUUAUUAUUGAGGGAACUUGCACUAGCGAAAGUAUGAACCCUAGGCCUUGUUUCAACACAUUGCAAUACCGUGUACGCUCACUUUUAUCAUUAGUUACCUUGCUGUUUUUAUAUUUUUCAGAUUGCAAAAAUAUUUAUCUACUAUCCAUAUACCACUUGUAUCACCAUCUCUUCGCUGAACUAGUGCACCUAUACAAUUUACCAUUGUAUUGGGUGUGUUGGGGACACAAGAGACUCUUUGUUAUUUGGUUGCAGGGUUGCUUGAGAGAGACCAUCUUCAUCCUACGCCUCCUACGGAUUGAUAAACCUUAGGUCAUUCACUUGAGGGAAAUUUGCUACUGUCCUACAAACCUCUGCACUUGGAGGCCCAACAACGUCUACAAGAAGAAGGUUGUGUAGUAGACAUCAAGCUCUUUUCUGGCGCCGUUGCGGGGAGGUUAGCGCUUGAAGGUAUAUCUUUAGAUCUUGCAAUCGAGUCUUUUAGUUUCUUGUUUUAUCACUAGUUUAGUCUACAAAAGAAAACUAGAAAAAAUGGAAUUGAGUUUGUCUCAUACGCUUCACCUUUUUAAUAUCUUUCGUGAGUAUGAUGGAAAGGAUAAUUGUGCUCAAGUGCUAGAAGAAGAAAUCUAUAAAAUGAUUGGCACUAAAUCUUUGAAUGAUGAGCAUGAUUACAAUGUUGUUAGUAUGAAUUCCUUGAAUAUCCAUGAUGCUAAUGAUAUGCAAAGCCACAAGCUUGGGGAAGCUAUGUUUGAUGAAGAUGAUAUUUUUGUCCCCCAAGUUUUGAUGAGCAAAUUUAUUAUGAUGAAAGCAUGCCUCCUAUCUAUGAUGAUUAUUGUGAUGACACGUAUGCUUUGAAGAAUAAUAAUAACAAUGAACCUUGUCAUCUUGAUCUUAAUUUUCAAUCACAUGAUAGUUAUUUUGUUGAGUUUGCUCCCACUAUUAUUCAUGAGAAGAAUUUUGCUUAUGUGGAGAGUAGUAAAUUUUCUAUGCUUGUAUAUCAUGAAAAGAAUGCUUUAAGUGCUGGUUAUAUUGUUGAAUUCAUUCAUGAUGCUACUGAAAAUUAUUAUGAGGGUCAUAUGCUUGUAGGAAUUGCAAUAAUAUCAAGUUUCCUCUCUAUGUGCUUAAAAUCUUGAAAUUAUGCUUGUUUUACCUUCCUAUGCAAGUUGAUUCUUAUUCCCACAAGUUGUUUGCUCACAAAAUCCCUAUGCAUAGGAAGUAUGUUAGAUUUAAAUGUGCUAGUCAUAUUCUUCAUGAUGCUCUCUUUAUAUUUCAAUUCUUAUCUUUUAUGUGAGCAUCAUUGAAAUCAUCAUGCCUAGCUAGGGGCAUUAAACGAUAGCGCUUGUUGGGAGGCAACCCAAUUUUAUUUUAGUUCCUUGCUUUUUGUUCCUGUUUAGUAAUAAAUGAUUCAUCUAGCCUCUGUUUAGAUGUGGUUUUAUGCUUUUUAUUAGUGUUUGUUCCAAGUAGAACCUUUGGGAAGACUUGGGGAAAGUCUUGUUGAUCAUGCUGUAAAAAACAGAAACUUUAGCGCUCACGAGAAUUGCUGCCAUUUUUAUUUGGAGAGUUAUAUUUAGUUAAUUAUUUUUGCAGAUGAUUAAUAGAUAAAUUCCUCAGGUCCAGAAAUUUAUUUGAGAAUUUUAUGAGUUCCAGAAGUAUACGUUUGAUCCAGAUUACUACAGACUGUUCUGUUUUUGACAGAUUCUGCUUUUCAUGUGUUGUUUACUUAUUUUGAUGAAUCUAUGGCUAGUAAAAUAGUUUAUAAACCAUAGAGAAUUUGUAAUACAGUAGGUUUAACACCAAUAUAAAUUAAGAAUGAGUUCAUUACAGUACCUUGAAGUGGUGAUUUAUUUUCUUAUACUAACGGAGCUUACGACUUUUCUGUUAAGUUUUCUGUUGUGAAGUUUUCAAGUUUUGGGUAAGGAUUCGAUGGACUAUGGAAUAAGGAGUGGAAAGAGCCUAAGACUGGGGAUGCCCAAGGCACCCCAAGGUAAUAUUAAAGGACAACCAAAAGCCUAAGCUUGGGGAUGCCCCGGAAGGCAUCCCCUCUUUCGUCUUCGUUCAUCGGUAACUUUAAUUGCAGCUAUAUUUUUAUUCGCCACAUGAUAUGUGUUUUGCUUGGAGCGUCAAUUUAUUUUGUUAAGAUUUUCUUGCUGUUAUUUAGAACAAUGUUUUGCAUCUUUUAUUUCAAUAAAAGUGGCAUUGAUAGCCUUUACUAUGCCUAUGUUACAAGUAUACAUGUUGCUGUUUGAAAAAAGAAAGUUUACCGUUGUUGCAAUAAUUCCCUAGAAAAUUCAGAGUGUGAUAAAAUGUUGAAACCUUUUGCAUAUUAAGAUCUGAUAAAUUUACUACAGUGGGAAUUUUCUUUCAUAAUUUUUGGAGCUAGGGAAGUGUGGAUCUUGCAGCAUUCUUUACAGAAUAUCCUGCUUAGGCAGAUUGCUGUUAUGUUUGCAUUGUUUGCAUAUGUUUGCUUCUUUAAUGAUUCUAUUUGAGGAUAGGACUAUUAAAUAUGAAGAGGCAUUUAGUAGCAAUGUUGAAUAAUAAUUUUAGUGAUUUGCUACAGUAGAGUAUGAUAAGGUUUUGGCAAUGGUUUAUACUAACUUAUCUCACGAGUCCUUGUCGAGUUUUGUGUGGAUGAAGCUUUUGAGAUUUAGGGAGACCAUGAUAUGAGAGGAAUUAAGGAGACACAAAAUCUCAAGCUUGGGGAUGCCCAAGUCAUCCCAAGAUAAUAUUUCAAGAAGUCUCAAGCGUCUAACCGGGGCAUCCCACCUUUCUUCUUCAAUAACUAUCGGUUAGUUUCGGUUGAUCCUAAGUUUUUGCUUCUUCACAUGAUGUUGACCAUUCUUAGAAUGUCAUUUUUUUGCUUCGCUUGCUGUUUGAAUAAAAUACCAAGAUCUGAAAUUCUUAAAUGUUAGAGAGUCUUCACAUAGUUGCAUAAUUAUUUAACUACUCAUUGACCUUCACUUAUAUCUCUCGGAGUAGUUUGUUGUUGCUCUAGUGCUUCACUUAUAUCUUUUAGAGCAUGGUGGUAGUUUUAUUUUGAAGAAAUAGAUGAACUCUCAUGCUUUAAUUAGAUUAUUUUGAGAGUCUUAAAUAGCAUGGUAAUUUGCUUAAAAUCCUAAUGUGCUAGGUAUUCAAGAAUAAUAAAACUUUCUUAUGAGUGCAUUGAAUACUAAGAGAAGUUUGAUGCUUAAUGACUGUUUUGAGAUAUGGAGGUAAUAAUAUCAAAGUCGUGCUAGUUGAGUGGUUGUGAAAUUGAGAAAUACUUGCGUUGAAGUUUGCAAGUCCCGUAGCAUGCACGUAUGGUAAACGUUGUGUAACAAAUUUGAAACAUGAGGUGUUAUUUGAUUGUCUUCCUUAUGAGUGGCGGUCGGGGACGAGCGAUGGUCUUUUCCUACCAAUCUAUCCCCCUAGGAGCAUGCGCGUAGUGCCGAGGUUUUUGAUGACUUGUAGAUUUUUGCAAUAAGUAUGUGAGUUCUUUAUGACUAAUGUUGAGUCCAUGGAUUAUACGCACUCUCACCCUACCAUCCUUGCUAGCCUCGUCGGUACCGUGCAUUGCCCUUUCUCAGAUUGAGAGUUGGUGCAAACUUCGCCGGUGCAUCCAAACCCCAUGAUAUGAUAUGCUCUUUCACACAUAAACCUCCUUGUAUCUUCCUCAAAACAGCCACCAUACCUACCUAUUAUGGCAUUUCCAUAGCCAUUCCGAGAUAUAUUGCAAUGCAACUUUCCACCAUUUCGUUUAUCAUGACACAUUCAUCAUUGUCAUAUUGCUUAGCAUGAUCAUGUAGUUCACAUAGUAUUUGUGGCAAAGCCACCGUUCAUAAUUCUUUCAUACAUGUCACUCUUGAUUCAUUGCAUAUCCCGGUACACCGCCGGAGGCAUUCAUAUAGAGUCAUCUUUGUUCUAGUAUCGAAUUGUAAUCAUUGAGUUGUAAAUAAAUAGAAGUGUGAUGAUCAUCAUUAUUAGAGCAUUGUCCCAAGUGAGGGAUAAAAAAAAGGCCAUAAAAAAGAGAAGGCCCAAAAAAAGAGAAAGGUCAUAAAAAAAAGAAGGCCCCAAAAAAUGAGAGAAAAAGAGAGAAGGGACAAUGCUACUAUCCUUUUACCACACUUGUGCUCCAAAGUAGCACCAUAAUCUUCAUGAUAGAGAGUCUCUUGUUUUGUCACUUUCAUAUACUAGUGGGAAAAUUUUCAUUAUAGAACUUGGCUUGUAUAUUCCAACAAUGGGCCUCCUCAAGUGCCCUAGGUCUUCGUGAGCAAGCAAGUUGGAUGCACACCCACUUAGUUUCUUUUUGAGCUUUCAUACAUUUAUAGCUCUAGUGCAUCCGUUGCAUGGCAAUUCCUACUCCUUGCAUUAACAUCAAUCGAUGGGCAUCUCCAUAGCCCAUUGAUUAGCCUCGUUGAUGUGAGACUUUCUCCUUUUUGUCUUCUCCACAUAACCCCCCUCAUUAUAUUCUAUUCCACCCAUAGUGCUAUGUCCAUGGCUCGCGCUCAUAUAUUGCGUGAAAGUUUAUAGGUUUGAGAUUACUAAAGUAUGAAACAAUUGCUUGGCUUGUCAUCGGGGUUGUGCAUGAUGAGAGCAUUCUUGUAUGACGAAAAUGGAGCAUGACUAAACUAUAUGAUUUUGUAGGGAUGAACUUUCUUUGGCCAUGUUAUUUUGAGAAGACAUAAUUGCUUAGUUAGUAUGCUUGAAGUAUUAUCAUUUUUAUGUCAAUAUGAACUUUUGUCUUGAAUCUUUCGGAUCUGAAUAUUCAUACCACAAUUAAGAAGAAUUGCAUUGAAAUUAUGCCAAGUAGCACUCCGCAUCAAAAAUUCUGUUUUUAUUAUUUACCUACUCGAGGACGAGCAGGAAUUAAGCUUGGGGAUGCUUGACACGUCUCCAAUGUAUCUAUAAUUUUUGAUUGCUUCAUGCUAUGUUAUCUACUGUUUUGGGCAAUAUUGGGCUUUAUUAUCCACUUUUAUAUUAUUUUGGGGACUAACCUAUUAACCGGAGGCCCAGCCCAGAAUUGCUGUUUUUUGCCUAUUUCAGUGUUUCGAAGAAAAUGAAUAUCAAACGGAGUCGAAACGGAACGAAAUCAACUGGAGAAAUUAUUUUUGGAAGGUCCUAUGUGUUGGUCGAAUAGAUGAAUCUGAGAUUGUGUGACGCAUAUCGUAUAAUCAUACCCAUGGAUACUUGAGGUGACAUUGGAGUAUCUAGGUGACAUUAGGAUUUUGGUUGAUUUGUGUCUUAAGGUGUUAUUCUAGUAUGAACUCUAGGGCUGUUUGUGACACUUAUAGGAAGAGCCCAACGGAUUGAUUGGAAAGAAUAACUUUGAGGUGGUUUCGUACCCUACCAUAAUCUCUUCGUUUGUUCUCCGCUAUUAGUGACUUUGGAGUGACUCUGUGUUGCAUGUUGAGGGAUAGUUAUGUGAUCCAAUUAUGUUAUUAUUGUUGAGGGAACUUGCACUAGCGAAAGUAUGAACCCCAGGCCUUGUUUCAACACAUUGCAAUACCGUUUACGCUCACUUUUAUCAUUAGUUACCUUGCUGUUUUUAUAUUUUCAGAUUACAAAAACAUUUAUCUACUAUCUAUAUACCACUUGUAUCACCAUCUCUUCGCCGAACCAAUGCACCUAUACAAUUUACCAUUAUAUUGGGUGUGCUGGGGACACAAGAGACUCUUUGUUAUUUGGUUGCAGGGUUGCUUGAGAGAGACCAUCUUCAUCCUACGCCUCCUACGGAUUGAUAAAUCUUAGGUCAUCCACUUGAGGGAAAUUUGCUACUGUCCUACAAACCUAUGCACUUGGAGGCCCAACAACGUCUCUAAGAAGAAGGUUGUGUAGUAGACAUCAUGCGUCUCUCUGAGAGGAGCGACCUCCCUUUUAUAGGCGCAAAAGAAGGAGACAAGAGGCUGCGCUGGGAGCUGAAGAGAACGAGGGAGGUGAAACGGACAGGCAGCAGGCGAAGAGGUGCGCCGUCCGUAUUCAAUCUCCACUACAGCAAAAAUGUUUCAGCUUCCGCGUGACCUUUCAUAUACCCGUCAUCCGUGGCAAAAAUUAGACAUCGGUUCGGCUCAUUCCCGCAACUCGCAGCGCAGCGCGGCACGGCGUGACGAGGCGGGCGGCGGCGGAGGAGCACGCGUGGAUGUCCCUCUUGUUCUCAUCCUCAUGCAUGUGGAGAAAGAGUCUCCUUUACAAAUAGGUCCAACUCACUCUAAACUAGCAAUGUGGGACUAAACUUUAGUUCCACCUCUUGCCUUGCACGAAUGGGCCGCGUGGGCCUCUAGAAUUUAUUAGGAAUUUCUGAAACUGCUAUUGGGCUAGGCCCAAAAUAGACAAAAUUCCAGCAAUAUAAAUGUGAUGCUUUGUUCUAAAUCAUGAUAUUUAGGUGCCGCCCGAACUUCUUCGGUGGCUUGCAAUUAGUUAUUGCUUCACAAUAAAGGACUAGCGAGAUACCACGACAAGAUUCCAAUCAAUCAACAAGUUAUAAUAAAACCAUUUCAAAGGACAAUACACACACAAAACAACUCGAAAAGAAUAAAACUACACCAAAACUUAUAUAAGCCAUCUUCUAGCUUGAAAAAUAAUAUGAACAAAUAGUAAGUAGUAAGUGAUAGGGAUACCUGCAAACAUUCUAGCCAUACAAGAGCUUGAAGACCACAACAACCAAUCACUGCUAACAACGAGAUCCAAUAGCCGUUAAAAGAACAUCUGUUGGGGCAUCACCCAUGCUGGCGUAGACUUGCAAUCCUUUAUUAUCAGUCUAGAGGUUGUAGAAAACAGACCUUAUCGUACAACAAAAUAAAUGAAGAGGUCAAAGCGACGGUGUCAAUAAAUAUUCCAGUCGCUUCCUUCAUAGAUGCACUAGCCGCCAAGAUCUAAAGAGCCAACAAAUCUGGCAUCACACCUGCUUUGCAACACCUAUCCUCACAUGUAGUGACAGAACGUGAAGGGUAACUGGGGGGGGAUUUAUUUGUUUAAAAAAUUGCAUGAUUAGGAGUAGUAUGAGUUGAUCGUUGUUCUUAUCCAACACUUCCUAUGAAGCACUCUAUGUUUUUUUCCAACCAGAAGCACUUUUAGCUCACGCGUGGAAUUAUGACGACCAAGUUGUUUUCAUCCAUAAUUUCAAAGAAAACCGAGACUGAAAAAAAGUAUUGAACGAGAGCACACAAAAUGAGUACUUCAGAGUCUUGCAUUGUUUUUUUAUGCGGGCUGGAGUCUUGCAUUGUUGAUCAAGCCACCGACACGACCGACCCACUGGCAGCGACAUCUAGCUCGACGGUCACCGCCUGCGGCUUGGGGAUGUCUGCAGACGCAUUGAUCUCUUUGCAGAAUGAGCAAAGGAGACGAUCGGUGCAACGAUGACACGGUAGCCGGCGCAUGCUAGGUUGAGAUAGAACUCACUACUGAUGCCGAAGAAGGGUCCGUCACGAGCACCACCAAGCCCUGCAGCCUGCUCCAUGGUGUUGCCCUGGCCAUCUCCGAUCAUGACAAGGACAUCAAUCGUCGGGUUGGAACUUCCUACGGCGCGCUGCAUGUUACAGACGUGGCCACGACCACUACCUGACUACCAUUCUACUUCUAAAUCGAUCAUUUUCUCUUUACUCAGCCAAAAUAUUUAGUAGUAUAAUUUAUUUCUCACUUUUGGAAGGGGGGGGGGGGGCGUGGCCCCAUUUGGCCUCAAUGAGGCUCUGCCAGUGCUCACAUACCCUUUGUUAAUGUCGAGUCAAACGUCAUCGAAGUUAGGAGAGACUGAAGAGACCUUAUUCCAAGCCCAGAUUGCCGGUUCAACCUCGUGGAUGCCGUUAGAAAAACAAAAACCAAAUGAAACCAUUGCCUAUAAAAAAUAAUGAAUAAGACGCUCCCUGCUCCUUCGACCGUCGAUGGAUGGAAGACGAGAGGGGAACCCAGACGGUGACAUGGAAGCACCCUAGGUGGCAGCGGCUGGGGAGAGAUUUCCAUGUUGCGUGGACUUGGAAGUUGGAAUGCAGGAUCCUUUGCUUGGAGCCUUCAAGUUUUUCUCUCCCUGGAAAACGAAAAAAUCAAAAUACGCUUUCACGUUCGUAUUACGCAAGCUCGUGGAGAGGACGUUCGCCCAGAGCAAGCGCAUACAAGAAAACUGAAAUCGGUUAUGCCGCUAAAACCCUAGUAGCCCUCCACGAAUGGUCGCCGCCCCCCUCCGCGCACCACCAUGCUGCUCCGCCGCCUCCUCCACCCCUCCCACCACCUCCGGCGCGGCCUCCAGACCCUGACCACGACCACCAACCCCGCCGCCGCCGCCGCCGCGCCCUCGAUCCCGCAUCCUCUCUCCGCCCCUCUCCCAUUUCGCCGCCUCCCCGCCCGCCUCCUCUCGCCGCGGCUCCUCUCCACCUCUGGCGGCGACGACGACACCAGAAGACCGUGGGCCUUCACGCAGGACUCCGGAGAUCCGGACCCCUUCGCCGAUGUAGACCCCGCCGCCGCCGUCCCCGGCGAAGCGCCGCUAGGGUCGAGCGCCGUCGCCGAGGACCCGUGGUCGAAGGACUUCCGCGCGGAGGACAGCGACAAGGCCGACGUGUUCGAGGAGAUCUACAAGGAUGCGGCCGCGGCAGCGCCUUCCGCGAGGAAGGCGGCCCCGGCCGAGCCGUGGACGUGGGAUUUGGAGGGUGAGAAAGACGAUCCGUUCGCCGCGAGAAAGGAUGCCGCCGCGGCAGCGCGGCCUACCGCGAGAAAGGCGGCCCCGGCCGAGCCGUGGACGUGGGAUAUGGAGGAUGAGAAAGACGAUCCGUUCGCCGCGGCUGUGCUUGAUGUGGGGGUUGAGGGGAUCGCGGAUGAGGGUGCCCAGAUCGAGGAGCUUGUUGAUGGGAAAGAAGAAGAUGCGGAGCGUCAGCGGCAGGAGGACAAGGCGAGGGAGCAGCAGCUGAUGGAAACUCUCAAAGGUGAUCUAGAAAUGCAUAUUAUGUAUAUGUGCAGCUUGAUUUCUCAGUACUCUGGUAACUAAAUUGGCGUGCAUGUGGUUGUGUUUAUUGGUGCCGGAUUAGUUAAGUGACUCUGCAUAUGGUUGUGUUUAUGCGUACAGAAUUACUGAAGUAAUUGACUGAAUGCCGAAGUUUAAGAUAUAGGUUCACAAUCAUAAUCAUACUAGGUUCCUGCGCUUGAACUGAAAGCUGCAAAUACCUUUUUACUGAUAUUCGCUUGUCUAGAGAUUGGCCCGUGGACUGUGAACUUGUCGAGGCAUGCAACAUUUGCAUAUGGUUUAGGAUGUCAUUGGUUUCAAUGCUUCUUAAGGUUAACUUGGGAUCAAGUUUGAUGUAAAUGUUUGUCCCCAGUAGUGCUUGCCUGAUAAGGCCAUUCAUUCAUGUUGUAAACUGCCCAUAUGAAUGGCUAGUUUAUUUGCCACUUUUAAUGAUCAUGAAUUCAUAGUCUUUAUUGUGCCUCUGCAUGAGCGAUUGGAGUAUAUAGUAUGAUCUUAGCUGCUGCGUGUGAUGAUUUUACAAAUUUUUGUUCUGGUUUGAGUAAGACUGUAUGUGGGGAUCAACAGUGCAUGCUGAUAUAAGUAACACAGUAAUAACUAGGGGUGCAAGCGGCAUCCUGCUUGUCCCAGAAACUUAUCAAUUAGCUAUAUCACUUGCCUAAAACUAACACUACAUCUGUAUAAUGGUAUUGUCGGCUAGCCUGCCCCGUAUGCAUCCCUAGUGAUAAUAAAAGUUUUCCCUGGUUGCAGGUCCGGAUCGUGCAUUUGGGGAUCUCAUUUCUGCCUCUGGGAUUACAGAGGAUAUGAUUGACAGUUUGAUCCUCUUGAAGGAUGCCAGGGGAGUACCAGGAUUGCCUCCUCUAAGUGAAAUACAAGAUAGAGCUAUCCAGAAAAUGAAUGCAACAUCAAGCAGGGCUGAAGUAGAACGCCAAAUGCAAGAGGAAAUUGCUAAGGCACGUGUGAGACAAGUUGAUGAGAAAGGAAGGGCUUAUGGUACAGGUAAAAGGAAGUGCAGCAUUGCCCGUGUUUGGAUUCAGCCUGGUGAUGGCAAGUUUGUUGUCAACGACAAGCAGUUUGAUGCUUACUUCCCAAUUCUGGACCAUCGAGCUGAUCUUCUUCGGCCAUUUACUGUGACCAAGACGUUGGGGCUUUGGGAUGUAGCUUGUACUGUGAAAGGUGGUGGUGUUUCAGGUCAGUUUCAAAAGUUCAGUCAUCUCUCUACAGGCUAGGCAUAUCCAUUGUCAUGUCAAUAUGAAAGUGGUAUUUUUACAAUCAUGUUAGAGGUAGAUAUGCUGGAUAUUAUAUGGAUGCACUCAGCACAUGGUAGCAUAUGCAUGUACUAGUCCAUGAGUUUUAUGUACUGAAAUGGGUCAGAUACUCGUGCAUAAACUAAAAUAUGCAUGCUUGUGCAAAAUUGCAUCUUCACAUGACACAUCAAUAUGCUAUGACUGGCAUGUAUUCAACAAUUUAUAACAAUCUAUGUCUUUCAGUUAUGAUUGGGUUCCGGGAGGAGAAGUAUUAUAUCUGUACAAUCAUGGAGUAUAUAUUUCUUCAUGCUGUUUCCAAGGAUUCUAGAACCUGAAAUAUGCUUGCAAGUGUAGGUUUAGAAGAACCAGUGUUUAACAAUUCAUCCUGGUGCUGGAUCCCUUGCACCUUUCAACUAUUGCACUUUCUGUUGCACCCAAACCUCUUCCAAAUCGAGUUCCUUUUCUCUAACUGCAGGUCAAGUUGGAGCUGUGCGCCUAGGGAUCAGCAGAGCCUUACAGAACUGGGAACCAGGACUACGCCCAUAUCUCAAAGCAGGUAAAAGCAGAAUUAGAAACCAGGACUGCAUUGCGCUAUGCUCAGCGAGCAUCAUAGCAAUUGCUGUCCUUUCUCACACGCACAUGGUCUUCCAAAGUUACUAAUGUCGUCAUUUUUGCUCCAAACAGCUGGAUAUUUAACCAGAGAUUCGCGUGUGGUCGAAAGGAAGAAGCCUGGAAAGGCAAAGGCAAGGAAGAGCUUCCAAUGGGUCAAGCGUUAACAGGCUAGUUCUGCCUCUUUUUUGGCACAAAAUUGUCAAUCAGAGACGGUAUAUCUGACCCUGUUCUCGUAAUCGUAAUGCUUCAGGUCUACGUGCAAAAUUACCGUGCCACUGGUGGCAGGUCCUCUGCUCGUUGUUGUGGAUUUUCUAGUGAGCAGAGAUCUGUAUUCGCAUUGGAUGUGCUGUCACUUCGGCGGAAGGCCCGUCCAAGCUUUGUACUCGGAUAUUCCAGUCUGCAUCGGUCAUGGAGUUCCUGUGACACCAGAUGUUCUAUUUUUUGUAUGCUGAUACAGCAAAUUGAUCCGGGGAAAAUCUCAUUUUGACCAAAACAAGAUGCAGAAGAUACUUAGCCAUGAGCUGUUGCCUCUGAAUAAAACCGGGCCGCCAAAAAUGUUCAGUUCACAAUGUUCCUUUUCUCCUUUCAGUUUCAUAGGAGGAUGGCAUGGAUGUAUCCAUGCCAAAUGAACGCAGCCGUUUUAUUGAUAGCUAGUUCCAUACUGUAUUUCUCCUUGGGGUUUUUCCGUGUGUGCAGCACAACGAAGAUUAAAUUUUAUUUUUACAAAGAAGAUUGUUCGAAUUUCUUGCUUCUAUUUACCGUAAGCUACUUAAUCUCCUGGCUUUUGCGGACCACAAUAAAAUCGGAUUG